CCUACGGGAGGCAGCAGUGGGGGAUAUUGCACAAUGGGGGGAACCCUGAUGCAGCGACGCCGCGUGGGUGAAGGAGCGUUUCGGCGCGUAAAACCCUAUCGGCAGGGAAGAAGAAGGACGGUACCUGACUAAGAAGCCCCGGCUAACUACGUGCCAGCAGCCGCGGUAAUACGUAGGGGGCAAGCGUGCUCCGGAUUUACUGGGUGUUAAGGGGUCGCAGACGGCAGCGCACGCCAGGAGUGAAAGCCCGGGGGCCAACCCCGGGAGUGCUCUUGGAACUGGGCGGGUGGAGUGCAGGUGGGGCAGGCGGAAGGCCUGGUGUAGCGGUGAAAUGCGUAGAUAUCAGGAGGAACAUCAGUGGCGAAGGCGACUAUCUGGCACAUAACUGACGCUGAGGAGCGAAAGCGUGGGUAGCAAACAGGAUUAGAUACCCGUGUAGUC
rnacentral:rRNA from 1 species